UACGGAGGGUGCAAGCAUUAAUCGGAUUUAUUGGGCGUAAAGGGCGCGUAGGCGGAAAGGAAAGUCAGAUGUGAAAUCCCGGGGCUCAACCCCGGAACAGCAUUUGAAACUAUUUUUCUAGAGGGUAGGCGGAGAAAAUGGAAUUCCACAAGUAGCGGUGAAAUGCGUAGAUAUGUGGAAGAACACCAGUGGCGAAGGCGAUUUUCUAGCUUAUACCUGACGCUGAGGCGCGAAAGCAAGGGGAUCAAACAGG
rnacentral:rRNA from 1 species